UCAAUCUCGUGCGGCUAUAUAUACCGCCGGUCCCUCUAAGAAGAUUUUCAUUGUACGCCGACGACGCGCGAACGCCGCCGGGACGCGCGCACGCGGGCCCUCGUGAUACCGGUUGCACGUCUAUUUAAUAGGCUAGAGUUACGUUCGUUAC
rnacentral:rRNA from 1 species